GGAGAGUUUGAUCCUGGCUCAGGAUGAACGCUAGCGGCAGGCCUAAUACAUGCAAGUCGAGGGGCAGCACGGGUAGCAAUAUCUGGUGGCGACCGGCGCACGGGUGCGUAACACGUAUACAAUCUGCCUUCUACAGAGGGAUAGCCCGGAGAAAUUCGGAUUAAUACCUCAUAACAAAUGAAUUGGCAUCAAUUUAUUUUGAAAGAUCCGUCGGUAGAAGAUGAGUAUGCGUCUGAUUAGCUAGUUGGUGAGGUAAUGGCUCACCAAGGCGACGAUCAGUAGGGGAUCUGAGAGGACUACCCCCCACACUGGUACUGAGACACGGACCAGACUCCUACGGGAGGCAGCAGUAAGGAAUAUUGGACAAUGGAGGCAACUCUGAUCCAGCCAUGCCGCGUGCAGGAUGACUGCCCUAUGGGUUGUAAACUGCUUUUGUACGGGAGAAAACCCUUUCACGUGUGAAAGGUUGAUAGUACCGUAAGAAUAAGGAUCGGCUAACUUCGUGCCAGCAGCCGCGGUAAGACGAAGGAUCCAAGCGUUAUCCGGAUUCAUUGGGUUUAAAGGGUGCGUAGGCGGGUUUGUAAGUCAGUGGUGAAAGCCGGUCGCUCAACGAUCGAAUUGCCAUUGAUACUGCGGACCUAGAAUAUAGAUGAUGUUGGCGGAAUAUGACAUGUAGCGGUGAAAUGCAUAGAUAUGUCAUAGAACACCGAUUGCGAAGGCAGCUGACAAAACUAUUAUUGACGCUGAUGCACGAAAGUGCGGGGAUCAAACAGGAUUAGAUACCCUGGUAGUCCGCACAGUAAACGAUGAUAACUAGAUGUUUGCGAUAUACCGUAAGCGUCCAAGCGAAAGCGAUAAGUUAUCCACCUGGGGAGUACGCCCGCAAGGGUGAAACUCAAAGGAAUUGACGGGGGCCCGCACAAGCGGAGGAGCAUGUGGUUUAAUUCGAUGAUACGCGAGGAACCUUACCAGGGCUUGAAAGUUAAGGAAUGAUUAUGAAAGUAGUCAGUCAGCAAUGACCUGAAACUAGGUGCUGCAUGGCUGUCGUCAGCUCGUGCCGUGAGGUGUUGGGUUAAGUCCCGCAACGAGCGCAACCCCUACCAUUAGUUGCCAGCGGUUCGGCCGGGGACUCUAAUGGAACUGCCCGUGCAAACGGAGAGGAAGGUGGGGAUGACGUCAAGUCAUCACGGCCCUUACGUCCUGGGCUACACACGUGCUACAAUGGGUGCUACAGAGGGCAGCUACACAGUAAUGUGAUGCAAAUCUCGAAAGGCAUUCUCAGUUCGGAUUGAGGUCUGCAACUCGACCUCAUGAAGCUGGAUUCGCUAGUAAUCGCGCAUCAGCAAUGGCGCGGUGAAUACGUUCCCGGGCCUUGUACACACCGCCCGUCAAGCCAUGAAAGCUGGGAGUAUCUAAAGU
rnacentral:rRNA from 1 species